GCCGGGCGCGGUGGUGCGCGCCUGUAGUCCUAGCUACUCGGGAGGCUGAGGCAGGAGGAUCGCUUGAGUCCAGGAGUUCUGGGCUGCAGUGCGCUAUGCCGAUUGGGUGUCCGCACUAAGUUCGGCAUCAAUAUGGUGACCUCCCGGGAGCGGGGGACCACCAGGUUGCCUAAGGAGGGGUGAACCGGCCCAGGUCGGAAACGGAGUCGGAAACUAGAUACAAUGGGAAUAUGAGACAGAUAAUGUGAUAAAGAUGACAUCUGAAUUUGGUGGUCAAAAGAAGGACUAAGCAAUUUU
rnacentral:SRP_RNA from 1 species